UACGUAGGGGGCAAGCGUUGUCCGGAAUCACUGGGCGUAAAGAGCGUGUAGGCGGCCUUACAGGUCAGCUGUGAAAACUCGAGGCUCAACCUCGAGACGUCGGUUGAAACCGUAAGGCUAGAGUCCGGAAGAGGAGAGUGGAAUUCCCGGUGUAGCGGUGAAAUGCGCAGAUAUCGGGAAGAACACCCGUGGCGAAGGCGGCUCUCUGGGACGGUACUGACGCUGAGACGCGAAAGCGUGGGGAGCGAACAGG
rnacentral:rRNA from 1 species